rnacentral:rRNA from 1 species
AACGAACGCUGGCGGCAUGCCUAACACAUGCAAGUCGAACGAGACCUUCGGGUCUAGUGGCGCACGGGUGCGUAACGCGUGGGAACCUGCCCUUAGGUUCGGAAUAACUCCCCGAAAGGGGUGCUAAUACCGGAUAAUGUCUUCGGACCAAAGAUUUAUCGCCUUUGGAUGGGCCCGCGUUGGAUUAGCUAGUUGGUAGGGUAAAAGCCUACCAAGGCGACGAUCCAUAGCUGGUCUGAGAGGAUGAUCAGCCACACUGGGACUGAGACACGGCCCAGACUCCUACGGGAGGCAGCAGUGGGGAAUAUUGGACAAUGGGCGGAAGCCUGAUCCAGCAAUGCCGCGUGAGUGAUGAAGGCCUUGGGGUUGUAAAGCUCUUUUACCCGGGAUGAUAAUGACAGUACCGGGAGAAUAAGCUCCGGCUAACUCCGUG